UACCCCACAGACCCCCGAUUACCCGCAGAGACCCCCGGAUUUUGGGGCAGACCCCCCCUGUUUGAAGGCAGACGCUCGGGUUAUCCCACAGACCCCCGGAUUUUGGGGCAGACCCCCCGGAUUUUGGGGCAGACCCCCCUGUUUUGGGGCAGACGCUCGGGUUACCCCACAGACCCCCGGAUUUUGGGGCAGACCCCCAAGUUUCCCUGCAGGCCCUCAGGUUUCACUCAGACCCUCUGGUUUUGGGGCAGACCCUCAGGUCUCCCUGUGGGGUUUGGGACAGACCCCUGGGCUUUGAGGAAGACCCCCAGGUUUCCCUGCAGCCCCUCAGGUUUUGCCCCAGACACUGGGAUUUUCCAGUGGACUCCCAGGUUUUCCUGCAGCCCCUCAGGUUUUGGGACAGACCCUCGGGUCCUGCCCCAGACACUCGGGUUUCCCAGCAGACCCCCGGAUUUUGGUGCAGCCCCUCAGGUCUUGGGACCCUCGGUUUUUUAGGACAGAGGCCUGGAUUUCGGGGAAGACCCCCAAGUUUUCCUGCAGAGCCCCGAGUUCUGGCACAGACUCCCAAGUUUUGGGGCAGACCCUCAGGUUUCGGGGACAGAGCCCUGGAUUUUGGGGCAAAUGCCCAAGUUUUCCAGCAGACCCUCAGGUUUCAGGGCAGACCCUCGGGUUUGCUGCAAACCCUCAGGUUUCCCUGUGGAGGUUUUGGGACAGAGCCCUGGAUUUUGGGACAGACCCCCAAGUUUCCCUGCAGACCCUCGGGUUUCCCUGUGGACCCUCAGGUCUUCCUCCAGAUCCUCAGUUUUUGGGACAGAUUUUGGGGCAGAACCCCAAGUUUCCCAGCAGACCCUCAGGUUUCAGGGCAGACCCUUGGGUUUAUUACAAACCCUCAGGUUUCCCCGUGGACCCUCAGAUUUUCCAGCAGACCCUCGGGUCUUCCUGCAGACCCUCAGGAUUUCCAGCAGACCCUCAGCUUUCCAGGCAGAGCCCUGGAUUUUUGGGGGCAGACCCCCAAGUUUCCCUGCAGACCCUCGGGUUUGCUGCAAACCCUCAGGUUUCCCUGUGUAGCCUCAGGUUUUGGGACAGAGCCCUGGAUUUUGAGGCAGACCCCCAAGUUUCCCUGCAGACCCUCAGGUCUUCCAGCAGACCCUUGGGUUUAUCACAAACCCUCAGGUUUCCCCGUGGACCCUCGGGUCUUCCUGCAGACCCUCAGGAUUUCCAUCAGACCCUCAGCUUUCCAGGCAGAGCCCUGGAUUUUCGGGGGCAGAACCCCAAAGUUUCCCUGCAGCCACCCCUCGAGUUCAUUGCAAACCCUCAGCUUUGGGGGCAGCCCCUGGGGUUCAUCACAAACCCUCAGCUUUGGGGGCAGCCCCUGGGGUUCAUCGCAAACCCUCAGCUUUGGGGGCAGCCCCUGGGGUUCAUCACAAACCCUCAGCUUUGGGGGCAGCCCCUGGGGUUCAUCGCAAACCCUCAGCUUUGGGGGCAGCCCCUGGGGUUCAUCGCAAACCCUCAGCUUUGGGGGCAGCCCCUG
rnacentral:lncRNA from 1 species